rnacentral:rRNA from 1 species
UACGUAGGGGGCAAGCGUUGUCCGGAUUUAUUGGGCGUAAAGAGCGUGUAGGCGGCCAUACAGGUCCGUUGUGAAAACUCGAGGCUCAACCUCGAGACGUCGAUGGAAACCGUAUGGCUAGAGUCCGGAAGAGGAGAGUGGAAUUCCUGGUGUAGCGGUGAAAUGCGCAGAUAUCAGGAAGAACACCCGUGGCUAAGGCGGUUCUCUAGUACGGUACUGACGCUGAGACGCGAAAGCGUGGGGAGCGAACAGG